GUUCUUGUUUCAGCAGCACAUAUACUAAAUUUGGACCAAUGCAGAGAUGAGCAUGGCCCCUGUGCAAGGACAACACAUAGAUUCAUGAAGCAUUCCUUUUUUCC
rnacentral:snRNA from 1 species